rnacentral:tRNA from 1 species
GGCCUCGUAGCUUAGCUGGUAGAGCGUGCGCGUACAGACCGUACGCGGCUUCCAUGCGUGGGUUCGAAUCCCAUCGAGGCUA